rnacentral:rRNA from 1 species
UACGUAGGGUGCAAGCGUUAAUCGGAAUUACUGGGCGUAAAGCGUGCGCAGGCGGCUAUGCAAGACAGAUGUGAAAUCCCCGGGCUCAACCUGGGAACUGCAUUUGUGACUGCAUGGCUAGAGUACGGCAGAGGGGGAUGGAAUUCCGCGUGUAGCAGUGAAAUGCGUAGAUAUGCGGAGGAACACCGAUGGCGAAGGCAAUCCCCUGGGCCUGUACUGACGCUCAUGCACGGAAGCGUGGGGAGCAAACAGG